AGAUUGAACGCUAGCGGCAUGCCUAACACAUGCAAGUCGGAACGGUAACAGGCCCUUCGGGGUGCUGACGAGUGGCGGAACGGGUGAGUAACACGUGACCAACCAACCCCCGAAAGUUGGGAAUAGCUCUGUCGAAAGUAGAGGUAAUACCGAAUGUGGUCCAGGGCGGACAUCCGCUCUGGUCUAAAGAUUUAUCGCUUCGGGACGGGGUCGCGGACCUAUUAGCUUGUUGGGUGGGUAACGGCCUACCAAGGCGAUGAUGGGUAGCUGGUCUGAGAGGACGACCAGCCACGACUGGGACUGAGACACGGCCCAAGACUCCUACGGGAGGCAGC
rnacentral:rRNA from 1 species